UACGUAGGGCGCAAGCGUUGUCCGGAAUUAUUGGGCGUAAAGAGCUCGUAGGCGGCCUAUUGCGUCCGCUGUGAAAUCCCAGGGCUUAACCCUGGGCCUGCAGUUGGAUACGGGUAGGCUGGAGGCAGGCAGGGGAGAACGGAAUUCCCGGUGUAGCGGUGAAAUGCGCAGAUAUCAGGAGGAACACCUGUGGUGUAGACAGCUUACUGGACCACUUCUGACGCUGAGACACGAAAGCGUGGGUAGCAAACAGG
rnacentral:rRNA from 1 species